rnacentral:lncRNA from 1 species
GGGGAAAGCAGAGUUGUGGUUUUUGGUUUUUUUUAGUAUAAAAAAAAAAGUGGGCUGGGGAUAGUGGCUCAUGCCUGUAAUCCCAGAACUUUGAGAGGCCGAGGCAGGAGGAUCACUUGAGCCCAGGAGUUCAAGACCAGCCUGGACAAUAUAGAGAGACCCUGUCUCUACAAAAAUAAGAAAAAUAGCCAGGUAUGGUGGUGCACGUGCCUGUAGUCCCAGCUACUUGGAAGGCUAAGGUGAAAGGAUUGCUUGAGCUUGGGAGGUUAAGUCUGCAGUGAGCUGAGAUUGCGCCACUGCAUUUGUUUUGAAAAAUAAGAGAAAAGAAAAAAAAGAAAAAAAGAAUAUAAAAAGGAAAGGAAGAAAAGAAAAACGAAAAUAUUGUGUUAAUGAUGUUCACUCGGAAAAUUAAAAAAAAAAAGAAAAUAUGUAAUAAAUGUUAUAAGGUAACAAAUUCCAUAGAAUUUCAGAGGAAAUAAAAUGAACUUGUAGCUGGUAAGACAGAAGAAAAUUGUGGUGGGAGUAUAUUUGAGCUGGGCUUUAUAAGGAUUCAGAGAAUUUAACUUAAAACAGUGGGGACAAGGAGGCAUUCUAGGUACAGUGAGCAUAAGCAAUGGCAGUGACACUAAACAAACCGUGAUUUGGGAAUUGCCUGUGACCUGAAUUGGCACAGGUGGCAGGUGGGAAACAUGACUGUGACAGAGGCAAGAUAGGAUCAUGGUUCCAUCAUCAUUGUGUCAGGGACCUUAUCCUAUGGGUAAAUGGGAGCCACUGAAGAUCCUUGAGCAGGAGUCUCUGCGUUAUCCCCA